AUUGAACGCUGGCGGCAGGCUUAACACAUGCAAGUCGAGCGGGGUGAUGGUGCUUGCACUAUCACUUAGCGGCGGACGGGUGAGUAAUGCUUAGGAAUCUGCCUAUUAGUGGGGGACAACAUCUCGAAAGGGAUGCUAAUACCGCAUACGUCCUACGGGAGAAGGCAGGGGAUCACUUGUGACCUUGCGCUAAUAGAUGAGCCUAAGUCGGAUUAGAUAGUUGGUGGGGUAAAGGCCUACCAAGGCGACGAUCUGUAGCGGGUCUGAGAGGAUGAUCCGCCACACUGGGACUGAGACACGGCCCAGACUCCUACGGGAGGCAGCAGUGGGGAAUAUUGGACAAUGGGGGGAACCCUGAUCCAGCCAUGCCGCGUGUGUGAAGAAGGCCUUAUGGUUGUAAAGCACUUUAAGCGAGGAGGGGGCUCUUUUGGUUAAUACCCAAGAUGAGUGGACGUUACUCGCAGAAUAAGCACCGGCUAACUCUGUGCCAGCCGCCGCCGUAA
rnacentral:rRNA from 1 species